GGUGAACGCUAGCUACAGGCUUAACACAUGCAAGUCGAGGGGUAACAAGAGAAAAGCUUGCUUUUCUUGUUGACGACCGGCGCACGGGUGAGUAACGCGUAUCCAACCUGCCUAUAACUAGGGAAUAACCUUGCGAAAGUAAGACUAAUACCCUAUGAUUUCCUUUGAUGACAUCAGAUUAGGAAUAAAGAUUUAUCGGUUAUAGAUGGGGAUGCGUCUGAUUAGCUUGUUGGCGGGGUAACGGCCCACCAAGGCAACGAUCAGUAGGGGUUCUGAGAGGAAGGUCCCCCACAUUGGAACUGAGACACGGUCCAAACUCCUACGGGAGGCAGCAGUGAGGAAUAUUGGUCAAUGGGCGGAAGCCUGAACCAGCCAAGUAGCGUGCAGGAUGACGGCCCUAUGAGUUGUAAACUGCUUUUAUACAGGAAUAAAGUUAGCCACGUGUGGUUAUUUGUAGGUACUGUAUGAAUAAGGACCGGCUAAUUCCGUGCCAGCAGCCGCGGUAA
rnacentral:rRNA from 1 species